UUUUCAUUAUGUUUUUGUUGCUUGGCCGAAAAGAAAUCAUGGAUUUUGAGACACUGUGCAUGCAUUAUGGUACCUUUAAAGUCAAUUUUCAUUGUCGUAAGUUAUUUUAGCAUUUUUAUUAAUUUUUAUUUUUAUUUUAUGUUUUCGCGAUUUUAUGCGUGGGUUGUCUGUAUUUUUGUCCUCCAAGUCCAGGUAGAAGUUCU
rnacentral:lncRNA from 1 species